UAGUCAUAAAAGACAAAAAAGUGCCUGAAGGGUUCAACCUGUGUAGAAAUUACCAAACUCACCCCAUUGUGAAUCCUUUUCUAUGACACCAGCACCAAAAAAAAAAGAGGCAAAAAAGGUAUGUGCCAUCGGCAAAGAAGAAGAACAACGUCUGCUGUCCAUAUCCCAAGCCCAGCAAAGUGUACAUCGCUGACCACACUGCAACCAUCGCAUCCUCGCCACCACCGAUCGUUAGGUACACAAAUUUCAUUUUGGUUUUGGGUAUUUCGUCUCUUUCAACCCAAUUUCCUAGGGUAUUGAUUAAUCAUCCAUUUUUUUGUUGUGUGGAUGUUAUUUGUUUGUUGGGCAUAUGGGAAAACCACGGUAUUACGAUAGAUUAGACAGGAAAUUGUGAUGUGUGCAAUUUUUUUGUUUUUCUUUAGAAAAUUGCUCUCUGAAAUUAUAAUAUCCUGGAUGUGUUCCAUUUUUUUUGCUCAAAUCUUUGCUUCUGUACAGUAGUUAUCUGUCGAUUUUUGUGAAAUUUUUAAUAUUUUUUUUCCAUUCUACACAUGUCCUGCUGCUGUGUUGUUGAUAUUGUGCUGUGGUGUUGCGUGUUGGUGGAACAUUUUUUCUUCAUGAAAUGAAUUUUUCAUGCAAAUUAUUUUUUUAAUGCUCUGCUAUCUGCAAAUUUAUUAAUGUUAAAGGUCAAUCAGUGUGGAAUUUUCAAUUCAUUUGGAAGAUAUGAAAUUAGGAUUUUAUUAUGGACCUCAUUUAAAGAAAAACAAUUGUCCAUGAAAAUAAACCUGUUGAUUACAACUGUUGAAAGAACAAAACUGAUUGAUUCAUAACCUUAUAAAAAAAAAUAAAAAAAAAAAACCCAAAAAUGGAUCUGUGUUCGAACAGAUAGAAGAAAUGGCAUAUUGUAAAUGUGGCUUUGGAAUGGUAAUUACAACUGUUCAUUUGAUACAGAAAAAAUAAAGUCGAACAAAUGACCAACUAUUCACACCAAUUUCCAUUUAUAAGAAAAGAUAACAUUAACAUAUAUAUUGACAAUUACUUGCCUAAUGAAUAAUUGUGCAAAUCAAUUUUGUCUACAUAGUUUCUACUUUUACGAAAUUUUUUGGUUUCAUUUGUUACAAUAUUUGUAUUCUACACAUAAACAAUAUGAAUUACUAUUUGUCAAGUUAUUUGUGCUUGUAAAAAAAUUUUGUUUGUAAAACCCCAUUUUUUUAGAAACAAAUGGGGACAUCUGUCAUUUUUUCAAGAAAGAAUUCCCGAACUUUGAAUUAUGUAGACCUCAUUCAUAUCAUAUUUGUUGUGGUAGUCAUUUACACGGUCAGAAAACAAACCAUGGCUUCUUUUACCUCAACUGCAACUUCCACUACAUGGCCACGCGGGAUGUGUGCCUGUGGCUAUGGUCAAUGUGUUAUGAAGAUAUCCAAAUCAAACAAAAAUCUAGGGCGUCUGUACUUUGCUUGUUCCUGCCCUGUGUUGGAUUGGUUGGUGCGAAGAACCAAGGAGACAAAGCAUAGACUAUGCAUCAUCUACGAACAACAUUGUCAUGUACUUGCGGGAUGAUGUCAUACGCAUUCAACACUCGUUGCGUCUCAUUAAAACCAUUGUCUUUGUGUUGUGCAUUGUCGUUGUCAUUUUGUUGUUGCGUAUGUAAGCAAACUUAGUGUUUUGCAUGCAUGAUUGUUAUAAUGAUGUUGACUGUAAUCACUUUAAUUUCGCAUAUAGUUCCAUGAAUAGUUCGGGGGAGAUGUUAAUGACUACUUUAGUGCAACGAAAUUAUUUAAAAAGAGUUUGUAUUCUUAUGUCCACUCGUUCUGCAUGAAUUUUAUGUGUUGCUAUUCUUAUUUUAAUUACUGUGUAAUGGUUAUAUAUUGUCAAUGUAGCAACCAAAUAUUUUUCAUGUUAGUCGCAAUUUUGUGAUUGUGAUCAUUUUGACUCGUAAAUUACUUGGCAUGUAUUCGUGGUUAGUCGAAAUGGCUUCAUACAUACUUUGCCUUGUACCCCGUUGAAAAACAACGGAUUGCAACAGAAAAGUCUAGCAGUGUUGAAGAAACACAAAAGCUUCACCACAAGGCAUCUGGGAUAGUGAAUCAACAAGGAUUUUCUUGCAGCUGAUUGCCAAUGAGAUUACAAAGGGGAAUUGCCCAUUCCUAGUCCUAAGCCAAACUGGGUACAAGUCGUUGGUAAAGAAAUUUGAAAAAAAAAAAAAAAGGGGGAAAAAGACAUGGUCUGCAACAGUUAAAGAACAAAUAUAAGAGUCUCAAAAAAGAAUAGAAUGCUUGGAGGAAGUUAAUGGAUUCUAGCGAAAGAAUCUCAGGGAUUGGAUUUAACAAUGAAACUGGUUUGUUUUAGGCGUCGGAUGUGUGGUGGGAUAAGAUGGAAUCGACAAACAAGAUGUGUGCAAAGUUUAGGAAAAAAAAACUCUGGAACACCGCGAGUUGAUGGAGACGAUCUUCACAGGGGCUUCUGCUAUGGGUAAAAAUCAUUGGACCCCGAGAGAGAAAGUAGCUGAACCUACAGCUGUUUCAUCAGAUUCUAUUGACAGUAUAGGAUUGCGCCCAUUCAUUGAUCUGACCCCUACAUGUGCAGUCGAUGUGGACCCAAAUUCUUUAAUGGAACCAGUUGAUACUGCGAUAAAAAGGAAAUGGACUCCGUCAACAAGUUGUGCAAAGUCAAAGAAGGCAACAGGUGGUUUGUCAGUUAUAGCGGAAAACAUGAAUAAUUUGACAAACGUGGUUCGGAGCUAAAAUCAGCAAGUCACUGUCAGGCACCUCACUAGUAACGAAUCACUGUACACAAUUUUGAAGUGCAUGCAACGGCUCAGAUCCAUUCCUUCCUUUUUCGGUACGUCGCUAUUCCACUUGGCAUCAACACUGAUGGACAACGCAGGUUACCAGGAGGUGAUGAUGUGCCAGCCCAAUGAUGACCACAUUAUAGGGUGGCUGACACAGAAACAUCUGCAAUGCAUUGCUGCUGUGCCGUUUGCGAACUUGUUCUGGGCUCGACGGGUUUGAUAGUUGUUGACGUGAACAUGGGUUGGGUUUUGAAGCUUUGAAAUUUUUGAAUUACCGUGGAUGUGAGCUUGUAAUAAACAGGAUGGUUGUGUGUGUUGUUUUCAAUUUUUUUUUUUUUUGUUCUUAGCCAUGUUUUAUCGUUGGCAGAAAACUGUGUGGUUUUUAUUAACAUUGACAACGGUGGGCUGCCGUGUCAUGCUUAUUUAUUUUUAUUUUUUUAA